rnacentral:SRP_RNA from 1 species
GGAGAGAAAGUACCAUGAUAGCUGGGGGAAUCGGCGAGGCCCGGAAGGGAGCAGCCGUGCCUGGACGCCAGCGUUCGCUGGUCAA